AGCGAACGCUGGCGGCAGGCCUAACACAUGCAAGUCGAACGAAGUCUUCGGACCUAGUGGCGGACGGGUGAGUAACACGUGGGAACGUGCCUUUAGGUUCGGAAUAACUCAGGGAAACUUGUGCUAAUACCGAAUGUGCCCUUCGGGGGAAAGAUUUAUCGCCUUUAGAGCGGCCCGCGGCUGAUUAGCUAGUUGGUGGGGUAAUGGCCCACCAAGGCUACGAUCAGUAGCUGGUGUGAGAGGAUGACCAGCAACAUUGGGACUGAGACAGGGCCCAAACUCCUACGGGAGGGAGCAGUGGGGAAUCUUGCGCAAUGGGCGAAAGCCUGACGCAGCCACGCCGCGUGGAUGAUGAAGGUCUUAGGAUUGUAAAAUCCUUUCACCGGUGAAGAUAAUGACUGUAGCCGGAGAAGAAGCCCCGGCUAACUUCGUGCCAGCAGCCGCCGUAACAC
rnacentral:rRNA from 1 species